rnacentral:rRNA from 1 species
GAUGAACGCUGGCGGCGUGCCUAAUACAUGCAAGUCGAGCGAACAGACGAGGAGCUUGCUCCUCUGACGUUAGCGGCGGACGGGUGAGUAACACGUGGAUAACCUACCUAUAAGACUGGGAUAACUUCGGGAAACCGGAGCUAAUACCGGAUAAUAUAUUGAACCGCAUGGUUCAAUAGUGAAAGACGGUUUUGCUGUCACUUAUAGAUGGAUCCGCGCCGCAUUAGCUAGUUGGUAAGGUAACGGCUUACCAAGGCAACGAUGCGUAGCCGACAUGAGAGGGUGAUCGGCCAAACUGGAACCGAGACACGGUCCAGACUCCUACGGGAGGCAGCAGUAGGGAAUCUUCCGCAAUGGGCGAAAGCCUGACGGAGCAACGCCGCGUGAGUGAUGAAGGUCUUCGGAUCGUAAAACUCUGUUAUUAGGGAAGAAAAAAUGUGUAAGUAACUAUGCACGUCUUGACGGUACCUAAUCAGAAAGACACGGCUAACUACGUG